rnacentral:SRP_RNA from 2 species
CGGCGGGCUAGGCCGGGGGGUUCGGCGUCCCCUGUAACCGGAAACCGCCGAUAUGCCGGGGCCGAAGCCCGAGGGGCGGUUCCCGAAGCCGCCUCUGGAAGCCAGGGCCGAACGAUGAGUCCUCGUCCCGCGGGGUGCCCGGUGGGGGAGGCACGGCUGAAGGGCCGUGCUAACCCCCUUUGGGCCCCAAACCCCGCAAGGCCCGGAAGGGAGCAGCGGUAGGGGCCACGGAGCACGCUCGCGGGGGUGCGGGGAUGAGGUAGGCCCUGGUGAAAGGAGGCGGUGGAGGGUUCCCACCCUCGGGCGUGCCCGCCG